GCUGGCGAGAUUCGGAUCGGGCAGGGGGUGGAGGUGAGAUUUGUAGAAGAGAAGGAGGAACGCUCUCUUGGUUUGUUUUUUUCUUUUUUGAGCGGUACGUGUUUUUUCUGCGCUUGAGGGCUGCGGGAGCCGGGAUUAAAAGGUGCAUUGGGACAACGUGGCAGAUUUGUAAUUUCGAUAAAGUGACGUACCGCGGCUUCCGUACCAUCACCAUCAACUCCAAUUUAAUAUAUUGAUAUAGAUGACACUGAGGAUUGAUACUACAGUAGACUACCGAAGUGCCUGUGCGUUGCAACGGAAAAUAAUAAAUAAAUAAAAAUACAUAUGUACACUAAUUGUGUAUAACUUUUGACCUGUCACGAAUAAAUAUUUGUUUCAUUCUCCAACUGCCCUUCUCUCUGAUUGUUAUUGCUAACCACGGUUGCCACGUGGUAACUUCCCUUUCUCUCUGGCAACCACUAUGCAUCUCAUCUCAGCCACUUACCUUCCUUGAAGCAUACAAGUAGAAAAUACCUAGCCCAAAGUACAAAAUAGAUCUUCUUAAAGC
rnacentral:lncRNA from 1 species